GACGAACGCUGGCGGCGUGCUUAACACAUGCAAGUCGAACGAAGUGGCGAACGGGUGAGUAACGCGUAAUCAACCUGCCCUUCAGAGGGGGACAACAGUUGGAAACGACUGCUAAUACCGCAUACUGAAGGAGGGGAUUGCGUCGGAUUAGCUCGUUGGAGGGGUAACGGCCCACCAAGGCGAUGAUCAGUAGCCGGGCUGGGGGGAUGAACGGGCCCAUUGGGACUGGGAAACGGCCCAGACUCCUAAGGGAGGCAGGAGGGGGGAAUCGUUCGCAAUGGACGGAAGUCUGACGGAGCAACGGCGCGUGAUUGAUGACGGGCUUUGGGUUGUAAAGCUCUGUUAAUCGGGACGCGGUACCGGAAUAGAAAGCAACGGCUAACUACGUGCCAGCAGCCGCGGUAAUAC
rnacentral:rRNA from 1 species